rnacentral:rRNA from 1 species
AAGAAAGUAAGAAAGGGCGUAUGGCGGAUGCCUAGGCUCACGGAGGCGAUGAAGGACGUGAUAAGCUGCGAUAAGCUUCGGGUAGGUGCAAAUAACCCUUGAUCCGAAGAUUUCCGAAUGGGACAACCUAGCCGUCUGAAGGACGGUUGCUCUUACCAGUGUAAGAGAGCUAACGCAGGGAACUGAAACAUCUUAGUACCUGCAGGAAGAGAAAAUAAAUGAAUGAUUCCCCCAGUAGUGGCGAGCGAACGGGGAACAGCCCAAAC